CGCGAAUGGCUCAUUACAACAGCUAUAAUUUACUUGAUCUUGACACAAUCCUACUUGGAUAACUGUGGUAAUUCUAGAGCUAAUACAUGCAUUAAAGCUCUGACCUCACGGGAAGAGUGCAUUUAUUAGAACAAAACCAAGCGGCUUCGGCUGUUUCUGGUUGACUCAUAGUAACUGAGCUGAUCGCAUGGUCUUGCACCGGCGACGUGUCUUUCAAGUGUCUGCCUUAUCAACUUUCGAUGGUAGUGUACCUGACUACCAUGGUUGUGACGGGUAACGGAGGAUAAGGGUUCGACUCCGGAGAAGGGGCCUGAGAAAUGGCCACUACGUCUAAGGAUGGCAGCAGGCGCGCAAAUUACCCACUCUCGGCAUGAGGAGGUAGUGACGAAAAAUAACGAGACCGUUCUCCAAAGAGGCCGGUCAUCGGAAUGGGUACAAUCUAAACCCUUUAACGAGUAUCUAUGAGAGGGCAAGUCUGGUGCCAGCAGCCGCGGUAAUUCCAGCU
rnacentral:rRNA from 1 species